UUUCCGUAGGUGAACCUGCGGAAGGAUCAUUACAGAGUUCAGGCCCUCUCAGGUAGGUGUCCCACCCUUGAAUAUUUAUAGCUUAGUUGCCUUGGCAGGCCGUGGAAACACCAUGGGCUCCGGCUUAUGCGUGCGUGCCAGAGGAAACAAACUCUGUUCAUAGAGAUGUCAGAGUUCUCUAUAUUAGUUAAAACUCUCAACAACGGAUCUCUUGGUUCUG
rnacentral:misc_RNA from 1 species